rnacentral:lncRNA from 1 species
AAGGACGAUAACAUUUAUCAAGCAUAGGUCGUUGUGUUCCAUAUAGGUUGGUUGUCCUCUUAACCAAUGAGUGUGGAGAUACUGGUAUGGUAUACAGGUGAGAUGUAAGGGUACAUCUGCACUGAACGUGACCGACUCUGAAGCUAUUUCUGCUGUCAAGAUUUGCUCCGAUGGAAUAUGGGUAUAAAUAUCCCUCCGACCUGAGACCGCCAUGGUGACUUACAAGCAACUCACUGCACUUAGGCACUGGACUACCUGAAUUUUUAAUUCAGUGACAGAAGGCUGCUGGGUGUAGUCAAGUACUUGACUUGUCGGUGCAUGUUUCAAGAUGGGAUUGACCACUCCAGUUUAGGAGCUGUGUAUAGUCAUAUUUCAAUUUAGCAAAAUCUUGGCCAGGGUAGUCCUUAUGAGGAGUCACAG